rnacentral:rRNA from 1 species
GGUUUUUUAUUUUAAUUUAAGAUUUAUUCUGCUCAAUGAAUAAGUUAAAUGGCUGCGGUAAUUUGACUGUGUGAAAGUAGCAUAAUAAUUAGUUUAUUAAUUGUAAACUUGUAUGAAUGAAUUGAUGAAAUGUUGGCUGUCUUUUUUUAAUAGUGAUUGAAUUUUACUUUUAAGUUAAAAGUCUUAAUUGUUUUAAUGGGACGAGAAGACCCUAUAGAAUUUUAUUUUUAAUUAUUUAUGUUUUUUAAAUAUUUUUUAUAUAUUUGUGAAAAGAUUUUGUUGGGGUGAUGGAUAGAUUUAAUUAUUUUUGUUUUGGAUAUUUACAAUUUAAUUGAUUAUUUUUUGCUUUUUAGGGUAGUUUAAGAUUAAAUUACCUUAGGGUUAACAGCGUUAUUUAUAUGGAGAGUUCUAAUCAAUAUAUAAGUUUGCGACCUCGAUGUUGAAUUAAGAUUUAUUUUUUGUAGAAGUUUAUAAUUAAUUUGGGUCUGUUCGACCUUUUAAUCUUACA